rnacentral:rRNA from 1 species
UACGAAGGGGGCUAGCGUUGUUCGGAAUUACUGGGCGUAAAGCGCACGUAGGCGGACAUUUAAGUCAGGGGUGAAAUCCCGGGGCUCAACCCCGGAACUGCCUUUGAUACUGGGUGUCUCGAGUCCGGAAGAGGUGAGUGGAAUUCCGAGUGUAGAGGUGAAAUUCGUAGAUAUUCGGAGGAACACCAGUGGCGAAGGCGGCUCACUGGGCCGGUACUGACGCUGAGGUGCGAAAGCGUGGGGAGCAAACAGG